GUAUGAGCUUGCCUUUAAAUACCCAAGGCUUCCUGUCCACUAUGUACUUCGAGUUUCAUUCCAAACGCUCGUGCUUAACGUGGCGUUUAGGUAACCAUGCUGAAAAAGAUGACAAUCCUUUCAGCGCUGCUGGCUCUGAUUCUGGUUGAUCUGCUAAAGGCACAAGGUACCCCUGUUACCCCUGUGCUUGAGGAAACGAGCGUGGAGCAACGCAGAGAUGCCAGCAUGCAACCAAGCACAGAGCUCCCCCAGGACUACAGCAGAGACCCAUACAAGGAGGAAGGCACAGAGCAAGUUGGGAACACUGGAGCGCAAGGAGGCGAACAGGCCACUUGGGAGCUGAGCGGAGAGCCAAGUACUGAGCCUACGCCUGAGACAAGUGUGGAGCCAAGCAAAGAACCAACCCAGCAGUCAACUACUUAAAUAUCUGAAUAAACUGCAACAUUAAAUCUUGAUGGAAAAGCAGCAGCCGCACGUACCUGCAGAGUUGAUUUCACCACAAAAGCACACACACGCAGUGCCUGCAGCAAGUUGGACAGUGGAGCAGUUCCUAAAACUACAGCUUGCAGGAAAACUGUAACCAAGGCCUUCGA